rnacentral:lncRNA from 1 species
CUAUUGUUCCAUUGCUACUGAUUCAGAGGUGACUGCUGUAAAUGAUAACGCUACUGUUCCAGUUCCAGCUACUUUACCAUUGAUCUCUACAAUCAAGACUGACAUAUUGCCAGAACAGAAUGUUAAUAAGAGUCGACAUGUGUCAAAGGUACAUAUUGCUAAUGGAAAAGAGGUUAUAAAACAGAAUGAGGAUCAAGUGCACUCUACAGUUGCAUUGCACUCUACUCUCCCAGUUAUCCUUACUGAGAGUCGGGAUGUGUCAAAGAAUCAUAAUGCUAAUGGAAAAGAGGCUACAAAAUAGAACGAGGAUCAAGAACGUACAACUGCAGAUGUACUUGCAUCACAGAAUAUGGAAUCUGCCAAACCAAGAUUAUUGGACUCUGGACUGAUUCAGAUUUUCAUCAUAUAAUCCAUGAGAAUGUAUUGGUUCCGGCUGUUCCCACGGCAUCAUCAGUUCACAACAACAUUAAUGUCUAUAUCAAAUCUGGACAAAAACAGACAGAACGUACAACUGCAGAUGUACUUGCAUCACAGAAAAUGGAAUCUGCCAAACCAAGAUUAUUGGACUCUACUGUUCCAUCGACACUAAAACUGAAUGAUUCAACCAAUGUCCAACAGCAAAACAUUACAACAAAUUCAGAUCAACACCACAGUUCACAGAAUGAAAUGAUCAGUCAUGCAUCAGUUGUCGCACAGAAUGGUAGUCCAGCAGUCGUGGAUAUCUCUAGAGUUUCAACUCAGUUGGUUGAAAGAGUUGGACAGCAUGGGCAGCAACAAGCCUUGGCAGCUGCGGCAGUUGAUACAACUCCAAAGUUACUGAUAGAAGAUGUGUCUCAUGUCACUGUUACAUCGACAAAUCAGGCUGACAAGGAAUAAAGUUACUGAUAGAAGAUAUGUCUCAUGUCACUGUUACAUCGACAAAUCAGGCUGGCAAGGAAAGGGGAGUAUCAACAAUUCAUCAACCCGACUCAAUGCAGCCCAAACUGGUUAGCAGUCGGGGUACAAAGGAUAGUCAGCAACAAUCUUUGGCAGUUGUUACACCUACAAAGGAUGCUGCAGAAUCGCAACCUCCAGCAUUUGCGUAUAAAGCACAUUCCAAUAAGUUGUUUGAAAUAGAGGAACAACACGAAUCUGUGCCAGCUUUUACUUCUAACAGCCAGGGUGCAAAGGGUGGACAGACGACUGGACUUGAGAGACACCAAUGCAAUAUAUCAACGCCUGCUCAAUUAAAAAAUACAAAUAGACAACUACAGUCCAAACUUCAAAGUUCUACAACCAUAUCCAAUCAUACUUGGCCAAAGAGAAAGGACCUAGUCAGUAAAUCGAAACUGUAGAAAGACCAACGAGAUUACGAUGAUGAGGAGAGUUUUUGUGAAGGUUUUGCUGCUUAUUCAUCAGAAGAAGAUGAUCAAGAAUAUAGUGGAGAGGACAGCGAUGAUUCAGUCAAGCGAAAAUUUCAAAGGAAAACUACAAAUAACAACUGUCGUGCAUCUUUGUAUCAAACACCAACUCUCAAAACAGUUUCUUAAACCAUAAUGCUCCACUUUUAGUUCCAAGAAAUAACGCAAAAACUGUUACUUCAACUGUAGCGACAGCAAUAAUCGUCAACUAAGCUUAGCCAAAGAAUAAUCGCAAAUGCGCUACCAUCAACUAGUCAGAAUCAGAAGCAACAAAGGAAUGCAAAGUCGCAGGCGGGACAGAUCGUCACAGCAGCUUCAGUAAUCUUGGAAAGACGACUAUUGGAAGCGAUGGUAACGCCAAAUCCAAUUCUCCCAGGAAGACACUUAUAUGAAGAAGGGGAAGAAGAGGAUAUUUUAAACCUAUGCCGAGCAGGCGCUUCAAUAAAAGGAGAUCUGUCACCAAUGCAUAGCGCAAGAAAGAAGAAAUCUCAUCAAAGGGAAAGAAGUUGGGACGGCAGGGCGUGUGAAGACGUAAUCAUAAGGAAGCUCCCAAUGAGAAAUGCAAAGCAAAAACAAACAGUGCAACCUUCCGUCUUAAAACCUACUCGACUGAGGAACAAGCGGGAAGUUUAAAGACAGUUGGAGUCAACACUACACAUACUUGAACAAAAGAAAGCAAUUAUGCUUUCUUUCCCAUCUCUUUAAUGUUUAUUGUUUUCUUGCUUUUAUUUUAUGAGACUUUUUUCAGCAACGAUAGGUUUUAUAAGGUAUGGUCGCUGCCGGUGUUUGUUAUGUGGGUGACAAUUCUGGCGUCCACCUCCUUAGCGUAUAAACCUAUCUUUGUAAUUUUAUCUUAAUAGGUCGAAUAUGGGAAGGUUGACACCCUUUCACGUUAUUCACCUAUUUGUACUAUUUUUCUUCUAUUAAUAAAAUCAAAAAUUUGCUAAAAAAAAAUACAUUUCAAGUUUUGGCAAUCAGGGGCCCACCUGGAGAAUAAGGGAAUACUUUCAAGUGUCCAGGAGGUAACAAUUGAAAUUCUCAACUUUUACAUAUUCAUUUCUGGGCUAUUAACUCAUGAACUUCAAAAAUACAUGUAACACAAUAUAGAUCUGAAAUAUACUACUGUUUUGAAUUGUAAAUGAACUAAUUUUCAGUUUCACUUUUUCAACCGGCGUAUGGUGAACAAAUUAAAGCAACCAGCUAUUCUAAACUACAGGAAAUACCAAUUCUGCAUCAAUAGAAAUGUUUAUGCUAUUUCUGGGUUUGAUUUAUAACCAACAAAAUAUUCUAAGAUUAGGUGUAGUCUAACAUGAUAUUCUAGGCUAACAUUAUCUAGACUAAACAGAUAUCAUUAGCAAGACUGUCGUAUAGUUCUAAGAGAGGUCCAACAGUCAAGUUAUUUAUAAAUCAUUGUAUUGUUCACACAAUUAUACUAUGCCGUUAAACUAAAAUAGAACUGGAGAACUUCAGAGGGUAGAUCAAGAAACAUUUCCUCAAUGAUCUUCCAAUUUAGUCAUACAUUGACUCUUCGCAAAUCACAUGAGACCAUAGGAGUACCUGAUGCACAGAUAAACAAAAAGGCUCUGAGCUUAAAUAAGAAACCCAACAGUAGUGAUCAGUAACAGCAAUUCUAGCAACUAAAACCCAAGAGAUCCACACAGAGAUAACCAAUCAAACUAUGGUCUGACCACUAAAACUACCCAGAUUUUCAAGAGGACUCAAACUCAAACCAUUGAAAACACUCACACAAAACAAAUUAUUUUCAAAGAUGAAGAGUUCUGGAAUUUAAAUUGGCAAUAGGACAGUGGAAUUCUUGGUUAAUUUUAUGCCUCUUGUGAUUCUCUUUUUUUUCAGCCAAUUUUUUCGUUGUUCUCCUCUCCUCCUAGACAAAGGACUUCCCUUUUAUAAGCAAAAGUUAGGGCAACCCGUUUUUUUCCAAAUACACCCUAAG